UGGAGAAACUUUCACCUCAAAGAGUGACCCCUGCCUCCAAUGCUACUGCUCUGCAGGUGAAGUGUUUUGUAGAACCAUGGCUGCAUCAUGUCCUACAUCACACUGUACUCAUCCAGCUAGGCACAGAGGAGAGUGUUGUGCCACAUGCAAUGACUGUCAGUAUGAUCAGAGGGUGUAUGCUAAUGGGGAAAUGCUCAGGCUUCC